rnacentral:rRNA from 1 species
UACGUAGGGUGCGAGCGUUGUCCGGAAUUAUCGGGCGUAAAGAGCUCGUAGGCGGUCUGUCGCGUCGAUCGUGAAAACUUGGGGCUUAACCCUGAGCUUGCGGUCGAUACGGGCAUGACUGGAGUUCGGCAGGGGAGACUGGAAUUCCUGGUGUAGCGGUGAAAUGCGCAGAUAUCAGGAGGAACACCGGUGGCGAAGGCGGGUCUCUGGGCCGAUACUGACGCUGAGGAGCGAAAGCGUGGGGAGCAAACAGG